GCCACCAUGAAAGUGGUGAUCACACCAAUCUGAAUGCAACCCAGCCCAGACCUUGGGAAGGGCUAAGGGAGUGGGGAAAAGGCGGCAGGUGGCAGAGCAUUUGCUUAGUGUGAGGAGGGUUCAGAAGGAAGUCAGUGAUACAGGGCAGGCAAGGUCGAAAGUGGAGCGUAGCCUGCUGGGUUCCUGGCUUUGCCCAGGAAAGAAUUCAAGGGCAAGCCAGAGGUAGAAGAAAGCUUUAUUGAAGAAGCAGUGUUACAACUCCAUGACUGCUCCUGCGGAGGAGGGCCAACUUAGGCAGGGAGUAGCGGCUCAGGGCAGUUUUGCAGUCAUAUUUAUGCCCACUUUUAACUGCAUGCAGAUUAAGGGGCAGUUUAUGCAGAAAUUUCUAGGGGAGGGGUAGGCACUUUUGGGUCAUUGGGUCAUUACCAUGGAAAGGGGUGGUAAUGCCCAGGUGUUGCCAUGGCUACAGUAAAUUGACAUGUCUCAGUGGUGGCAUGUCUGAUUCAAAGCUGCUUUCACCCCGGCUCUGUUUUAGCUAGUCCUCAAUCUAUUCUGGUGUCCAAGCCCCACCUCUGGAGUCGAGUCCCACCUCCUACCUCAAGACAAGAAACUUUUGUUUUGACUUUCAGGGGAUAGAACAGGAAGACAUAAGCACCGGCAUGGGCCUAUUCCACAGCCAAGGCAGGGAGAACAUCCCAGGGCAGAAAGGAAAGCCU
rnacentral:lncRNA from 1 species